rnacentral:snRNA from 1 species
UUAAAUUAUAUUCAAAAGUAA